UUGAGCGAUUUACUUCGGUAAAGAGCGGCGGACGGGUGAGUAACGCGUGGGUAACCUACCCUGUACACACGGAUAACAUACCGAAAGGUAUGCUAAUACGGGAUAAUAUAUUUGAGAGGCAUCUCUUAAAUAUCAAAGGUGAGCCAGUACAGGAUGGACCCGCGUCUGAUUAGCUAGUUGGUAAGGUAACGGCUUACCAAGGCGACGAUCAGUAGCCGACCUGAGAGGGUGAUCGGCCACAUUGGAACUGAGACACGGUCCAAACUCCUACGGGAGGCAGCAGUGGGGAAUAUUGCACAAUGGGCGAAAGCCUGAUGCAGCAACGCCGCGUGAGUGAUGAAGGCCUGCGGGUCGUAAAACUCUGUCCUCAAGGAAGAUAAUGACGGUACUUGAGGAGGAAGCCCCGGCUAACUACGUGCCAGCAGCCGCGGUAAGACGUAGGGGGCUAGCGUUAUCCGGAUUUACUGGGCGUAA
rnacentral:rRNA from 1 species